AAGCAAUCUGUAAUAUUUUACCGCCAAAAUGACUGAAAAAUACUUAUUAUUACAAAAGAGCAAAUGCAGAGGAAUCUUCUUCCUAAUUAGCAUCAACGCAAAAGAGUUUAUAGAAAAGGAUAAUACUAAUGAAAAUUCAAAGGAUUUUAACAUUUAAUGCCAUUUCGUAUAUAGGUUUAAUAACCUGCUGCAAAACAAAAAAAUGUAUCUCCCUCCAGCUCUCCAAUUUCCGUGAUAUAACGCAAAAGCAGCUGCACCACAGCGUUAUAUACAAAACAAGUUUUUUUUUAAUUUAAAGUCAGAGCCACAUUCAAGUAAUCAAACCCUGAAUCUCUCGAUAUUACAUCGAGGAAAAAUGUGCAUCCAACUACGCCUUAGAAAGCAAAUCCAGCUCGUAUGUACGCGAGCUACGUUGGCAACAACAACAGCGACUGCGAAGUAAAACCUUGAAGUAGAAGAGCAAUAUAGGUUGCCAGCUAAACACGCAAACUAUGGGCGCCGACAUCUUGCCUAAACGUGAGACUCACCAACAGGCUGUAGAUGAGAUUUAAGGUAUACUAUACCAUUGUCGGAUAUAGUUAUAGAUACAACGGACUCAAGAGUUAUGCAUUGCUGUUGCUGCCGCUGUUGAUGGCAUUUUCCCCUGAGCCAACGCCACCAUCUCAUGGAGAAUGAGUACGCAUUUGUGCCAUGGGAGGGAAAAAGAAAAAGUUUUUAGCACCAGCAGCCUUUUGUUUGUGUGUCAAAGGAGCAAGAGCUACACAUUAAAGAAUAUUGGUAGUAGAAGAUGUUGAUGAUAAUGAUGUUUUAAAUGUUGACCGGCGUUGGAGGAGGAAUGAGUAUAAGUAUAUAUACGAAAAAAGAUCCUUUGUCGAGCUGCUUGUAAAAAUCACUAAUGGAAUGAUAUAUGAUGAUGGAUGGUUUUUGGGCACAAAAACACAUAGUACACCCUGAAAAAUAAUGUUGCUGAUAUCAGCAAACUAUAGCUGUGUUCGGAAGUCAAAAAUUUGUGCAAAUUUGCAGAAAUUUUUACUGGAAGUCGUUCGCGUACUUUAUUUGCAGCAGAAGAGAGCGUAAGAGAGAGUAUAUUUUGACAGUUUAAAAAUAGAGAACUACAAAUUUGUACUGGAACUUUUUUUGCAAACAGAAAUUUGCAACUUUGAACAGAUGUUUUGUAAAGAUCAGCUGUUUUAAGAAAAACAGCCGUUACAUGAAAAUACAAAAGAACGCCAAAAUAGAUCAAAAAGGCGGAGCUUCAUGACAGCAGCUAGUGUUCAGGUACAGAAAACUCGACAAAAGAAGUUGUAAUUUCAACUCAAGUCGGUUGUUCUACAUUAGAAGACACUAAGAAAAGAGCAAUUAUCGGCUUCUUAAGUGUUUUGAUAGAAUUAUCCUCAUCGGAGAGCUACGAUGAAACCAACACCGUUCCUUUUGUUAAGGAGGGAAGAUGCUGCCAUGGAAUUGUGUGGGUCUAGCUGGGCCGUUAAACAAGUGACGCACAGUGGGAUUAGAAAAAAUAUUGCAAAUUGGUCUGCCAAUUGUGAACGGAUACAUAUAUCUUCAAUGAUAACAAAGUGUCCGUAGUCGCCACAUCAGUGGUCAUAGCAAUUUAUCUAGCUACAAUGUCCAAAGCAUUAGAUGGUUAGUCCAAGGUAUCUUUGUCCGCACAAGUGUACUUUUGUAUACGGUGAUGGCAUGUCAAGCAGUUGUAGUCCUAUGCAGCCAAAACAAAAAUCAGCUGUUUUUCUGCAAAUUUUCUCUCUCUUUUUUCUUUUUUCGCUCUUACUCUCCUACAAAUUUUUACUGGGAAAAGUUCUCGAACAGACCUAAUGUCUGCUGUUUAUUUAUUAAAAAUUGUUAACCCUUCAUUGUUAAGACAUUUCCCAUCCAUUUAUGUAAUAUAUUGUGAAUUUUAGCCCGUAAUUUUGUUGUUUAAGAGCUGAAAUAUGAUUUAUGUAGAUAUUU